rnacentral:rRNA from 1 species
UACAGAGGCCUCAAGCGUUAGGCGGAAUCACUGGGCUUAAAGCGCGUGUAGGCGGACUUUUAAGUGCUUUGUGAAAUCCCACGGCUCAACCGUGGAACUGCUGGGCAUACUGGAAGUCUUGGGCCAUCUAGGGGCAACCGGAACAAGCGGUGGAGCGGUGAAAUGCGUAGAUAUCGCUUGGAACGCCAAAGGUGAAGACAGGUUGCUGGAGAUGUGCCGACACUGAGACGCGAAAGCCAGGGGAGCAAACGGG